UUGUUUUUUAUAAAAUUUUAUUGAAAAAAAUGUUAAUUUUUUCUUGAUUACUUACAUAUAAAGGAAGAAUAUAAACUUUACUAUUGAUAUUUGAUAUAGAGUUGGAGAAGCGUCCUUGAUUUAAACUUUGAGAAUGAUAAUUAACACAGCACCAGCUUCAUGCUCCAGUCACUGUGAAACUUUAACAGAAUGCUAAAUCUAAAAUGAUUGCAAAGGAUGACUUUUUCAGCCUAUUUAUUUUUAGUUGGCUGUUGCACAUUACCUCUUCAUUUUAGUUUCAAGCAGAAUUGUAAGACUUUAUUAACUUUUUGAAAUUUUAUUUUGUUUAAAUUUUUAGGCAUGAAUGAAGAAUACUUUUUAUAGACUAUUUAUAAUUUAAAUUUCGAGGAUGUUAAAAUCUGAAUAUAAGUCUUACAUUAACAAGGACGUAUUGAGGCUAUAAUUUGUAGAAAUUUCAAUGAACAUUAUAUAAAAUAUUAGUACUUGUAUAUAUUAGAUGUUAUAAAGUUCCAUGCCCAAUAUUGAAAGGUCCUGGAUAAUAUCCAAUUUUCAGUUUUUACCCUGAAUGUUAUGUGUUGUUAACUAUGAAGAAGUUGUAAGUAAAUCAUGUCCGUCCAUCAUACCUACAUCUGCUGCUCCGUCAACCCGUGACUGUGCCAAACUACGUAAACAAAUGUUCCAACAAUGUAAAAAUAAAUUCUGUAUUUUCAUUCAUUCAUUUCUAACAUUUGUAUCCAGAUAUUCAGUUUUGGUUUUCUAACAAUUUCACAUUUGGUACUGCUGAAAGCAGUUGUAGGAUUUACCAUUAAAGAAUUUUUAUAUUGUUAAGUAAAGUGAAAUUGAGAGUAUUUUAGUUAUUCAUUCAUGCUGGUACAAGAUAUUAAUAGUAACAUCAUAAAUGCAAAUUAUUGGAUACAAAUAAGGUGCUACUGUGUAUUUGAAAAAGUUUACUUGAAAGAAUUUGGAAAAGAUAUACAACUAUUUCAAAUCUCCAAAUUUACUUUCAUUAUUGAAUGGGUAUCUUCAAUUGGUUUUUGCAGUGACAUAUAUUUUUUUACUUUCCACAAAAAGAUGUGGUAAAACAAAGUUCCUGUUUAACUUUAAGAAAAAGAUUGAAGAUACUAUUUUCUUUAGUUUAUUUAUGUAGUAUUAUUUUUAUAGUAUUUAUAAUAUAUUUUUAUAGCCAUGAUAGCCCAUGUCAAAUUAGAAUAUGAAAAAUUCUAAAAUUUAUAUUGUGAAUAUUGUUUUGUCUUUUUUUUAUAAAUUUAUUGAUAUGCAGAUAAAAACUUGUCAAAUUGUUGUCAGUGGUCUCUAUUUUAUAAGGACCAAUGUUAUUUCAUACACAGCAGAUAUAAAUGGAUUAUCUCCCCUGUUUUAGUUGUUACACAAGACAAUUUGUAGAUUUGUGAUUAUCUCCCCUGUUUAAGUUGUUACAAUAAAAACAACAUGUAGAAUUGUAUAUGGAUUACGACAAAGUUUGAAAUUGCUUUAAAUUUAAAUUACUACACUGAAUAGAUUAUUUCAAUUAUUUAUUUUAACUUUCAACAAAAAAGUGAAAUAUGCCAAAGAGUUCUAGAUAGGCCAAAAUUGUUCAUCGGUCUUAGUGCAAUUUGUGUGUGGUCCAAAAAUAGGAUGAGAUCCUCUUAAAUCAUAGGAAUUGUAUUCUAUUGAAAGAUCAAAUCACUAAUUUGAAGAAAUAAUGCUACCAAAUUAAUGCUAUCUUGAAGUUUUAUUAUAAUUUUGAGAAUUGUUAUGUUCAUUUUCAUUUUAUUUCAAACAUGCAUUUUUCAUGAAUGAGAAAUAGGUAGUCUAUCAUUAAUUUCUAUAUAAUUUUGAACUGUAAUAUAUCAUUGCUUUUAUCAUAAAACUACUGAUAAGAAUACAUUCAGAUUGCAUACAUGACUCUUACAUUAAUUGAUUUCUUUGAAGUUUAAAAUCAGUUGGUUUUUUUUGUUAUGUUGAUAUUCCUUUAACAUGUCAUGUGCAAUAUACUGUGUGCAGAUACAGAUGUUUUCCAAAAGUACGCAGUUUAGCAAAAAUUGGCCACUGAAAUAGAAAGCUAGUUUAAUUCUUCAAUCCAUUAAAAAGUAUGUUCUUGUGAAACUUGAAUAGGAUAUGAUAAUGCAAUGUGGAUACUUUGGUUAAUAAAUGUAUAUCGUGAUUUCUAAUAGCACCCUGAAAAAGUGGAAGAUGACAUAUUAGACCUACAGUGACAAUUUCAUACAAAGUUUUUGAUCAAGUUAGAAGUGACUUACUCAAAAAGAACUUUUAUGACUUAAACAUCUUUGUACAACACUUCUUAUAGAAAAUUCAUUUUUUUGGAUGUUGUCUUAGCUGAUAUUUAAAUAUUCAUGACAAGAUUUCUCAAAAUUAGAUAAUUUUUACAAUGUUUGAAGUAUUGUAUUAAAGAUGUUUGAAGCUCUAAUAGAAUUCAAGAUUUCAAAUACUUUUAGUGAAGUAGGAAACGUGGCCAUAUCAUAUCUCCUUUGUAAAUUUGCUGAAAACAUGUAGGCUGACAAAUUUAUGUUUCAUAUGAUACUUACAUUAUUAGUUUUAAGUACUUUAGUUUAAUAGAUACACACACUGUUUUAAUUUAAAUUCUUUAUUUCCACUAUUUCUAUUUACUUUCUUUUGCAAUGAUGUAUAUACUCAUGUUAUAGACUUCUUUAGAUUUACAUGAAUACUAUAUUUAUUU
rnacentral:lncRNA from 1 species